UCCCAGAUACCUCAGCUGGUAAAGAAUCCACCUGCAAUGUGGAAGACCUGGGUUCGGUCCCUGGUUUAGGAA
rnacentral:tRNA from 1 species